rnacentral:lncRNA from 1 species
UGCUGACACUCUUUCAUGAGCUAUUCAUGCUGCAGACUGGGAGUCGGCCUUAAACCCCUACGUGCUGGCAGUCGAUGCCCAACCAAUCUCGCACCUCUUCUUUGCAAAUGAUUGUCUAUUCGUCGGUCAAACUUCUGAUCAGAAUGCGUUUGGCUUUCAGAGGAUUUUGAAGGAUUAUUGUGCGGCAUUGGUCCAAAAGGCUUUGUUUAGUCUGAGGACGUCGGCC